UACGUAAGGACCGAGCGUUGUCCGGAAUCAUUGGGCGUAAAGGGUACGUAGGCGGUUAUCUAAGUUAGAAGUCAAAGGCUAUAGCUCAACUAUAGUAAGCUUUUAAAACUGGAUAACUUGAGAGAUGGAAGGGAAAGUGGAAUUCCUAGUGUAGCGGUGAAAUGCGCAGAUAUUAGGAGGAAUACCGGUGGCGAAGGCGACUUUCUGGCCAUUAUCUGACGCUGAGGUACGAAAGCGUGGGUAGCAAACAGG
rnacentral:rRNA from 1 species